rnacentral:lncRNA from 1 species
UUAAAUACAAUUUCAGGAUAUAUCAUGAUUGAAGAGUAUGAAUAAUAAGCUGGCUAUAAUUCAUCAAUAUAAUUGAGAACUAGCACGAACAAACUUUUGACUGAACAAGUUUUAAACAUGAACAAACAUUUCUGAACCAACCGGUAAUGAAGGUGAUCAGCCUUUCAUACCUGACUUAUACAUGCAAGAUGUACAGAGUACAAUUUUUAUGGCAAUCAACAAUGAUUUAACCAUAAGCUUGAAUAAAAAACUCUUAGUAGAGUUAAG